rnacentral:rRNA from 1 species
CCUGGCUCAGGACGAACGCUGGCGGCGUGCUUAACACAUGCAAGUCGAACGGUGAACCUGCUUCGGUGGGGGAUCAGUGGCGAACGGGUGAGUAACACGUGGGCAACCUGCCCUCAGCUCUGGGAUAACUCCAAGAAAUUGGGGCUAAUACCGGAUAUGACUGCUGACCGCAUGGUCUGGUGGUGGAAAGAUUUAUCGGCUGGGGAUGGGCCCGCGGCCUAUCAGCUUGUUGGUGGGGUAGUGGCCUACCAAGGCGACGACGGGUAGCCGGCCUGAGAGGGUGACCGGCCACACUGGGACUGAGACACGGCCCAGACUCCUACGGGAGGCAGCAGUGGGGAAUAUUGCGCAAUGGGCGAAAGCCUGACGCAGCGACGCCGCGUGGGGGAUGACGGCCUUCGGGUUGUAAACCUCUUUCAGCAGGGACGAAGCGAAAGUGACGGUACCUGCAGAAGAAGCACCG